rnacentral:lncRNA from 1 species
GGGACACAUCCUCCUUGUAAUGACCCAGGUGACAAACUGCUCCUGGGCUCACACUCUUCCGUGCCAGCCCCAGAUAUCUUCCCAGCUCAGUCCCAGGGAGGAGAGUCAUGGGAUAAGGCCCUUCUCUCUGGCCCCCUCUCCAACCUGCAGUUCCCUGUCCAUCUUGGCCAAGUUCAUCUGAUUUGCAGAUGGGGAACCUGCCUGGCACGAAUCCUAUGGUCCCUGCUUCCUUUGGGAAAUCAAGAGCAAAGCUCCCUCCCAACUCGUGGUAUUACCCGAGCAGAAUAGAGGCCGGCUGUGUGCGUUGAAGAAAUGAAUGAAGUGAUCGGGAGCUGAGUGCCGGCGGAGACCGGCCCCCCUGGGCAUAUGUGAAAACGUGGGGACCCCACUGAGCUUUCAAAAUCCAAAGAAGAGAAUCCGGAGGAAAGAUCUGUAUCAUUUGCUGGGGUGUAAGAUGUGCAAGGAUAUUAACAAUUUAACAAACAUGUAUCAAAGGGAGGUAUAAGUACGAUUUUCCGUGAUAAUUUUCUAUUGGAAG